UGGUUAGUGGCGAAAGGGUGCGGAACGGUUAGGUAACGUACCCCGUACUCCGGGAUAGCGGUCUGAAAGGGGCAUUAAUACCGGAUGAUGUCCUCGGUUUAAUAUCGAGGACCAAAGAUUUAUCGGUGCGGGAGCGGCCUAACCCCUAUCAGCUAGUUGGUGAGGUAACGGCUCACCAAGGCGACGACGGGUAGCGGGACUGAGAGGUUGGCCCGCCACAUCGGGACUGGGACACUGCCCGGACCUCCACGGAGGGCUGCAGUAACGAAUAUUGGGCAAUGGGCGAAAGCCUGACCCAGCAACGCCGCGUGUAGGAUGAAGCCCCUCGGGGUGUAAACUACUGUCAGAGACUAGAAAGCUACGGUUGAUCAGUCUCAGAGGAAGUCACGGCUAACUUCGUGCCAGCAGCCGCGGUAAUACGAAGGUGGCUAGCGUUGUUCGAAAUCAUUGGGCUUAAAGGGAGCGCAGGCGGAGCUGAAAGUGUCUUGUGAAAUCCCACGGCUUACCCGUGGAAUGGCAGGGCAAACUACAGUUCUUGAGGCAAGUAGGGGUGCAUGGAACCUCUUGGUGGAGCGGUGGAAUGCGUAGAUAUCAGGA
rnacentral:rRNA from 1 species